CCAAAACACCAGGCCCACUAUAACACAAAAAAAGGUCAGUGUAGAACAUUUCCUAGCAAGGCCAAAGCUCUGGGCUCUAUCCCCAGUACCUUCAACUAGCUAACUAACAUACAUCAAGGUGCUGAAAGUCAUAUCACACAUAAGGCAAUUUCUCUAAUACAUAAAGAAUUUCCAGCAACUUAACAAGUGGACGUCAGAAUGGUACAUAACUUCUAUAAAAUAAAGCAUCUUAAAAACAGCAAAUGGUGCUCAAUUUAACUGUUAGAUAACAACUAAAAUUAAGUAACAAUUUCUAUGCUUACAAAGUGGGCAAGUAUCUAUUUUGACAAUAUCCCAUACUGGAAAUAGGCAUGGAUAAAUGGCAUUGUGUAUGUAAGUAACUAUGUUAAAGGACAAUUUUGCAGUAUUUGUCAAAAUACUAUUUCUAGAAUAAAUGAAAAUAUUAAAAUGCACAAAAAGAAAACCAGACCACUCUAAGAGAUACAAAGCAGACUUAGAAGGAAUUCCAUAGAGAAAGAGUGAGCGAGGGUCACAGCUCAGUGGCAAAGUCAGGAUAGCACACACAGCAGACAAUACACACAGAGAUAGCAACUCCCAGCACACACGGGAAAAAGCACACCUACUUUUGCUAGUGGGUUUUUUUUCCCACCUGCUUCUGACCUACAGAUGUUUAAAGAUGUAACAGUCUCUUCACUUUUUAGACAACAGCAAACAAACCAAGGUCUGAAAUAUAUAUAUGAGGCUUCCAGUAAGGCUGCUGAGAGACAAUGCUUUUAAUGUGUUUAGAAGAUGUUUUCCUUACUGGACAAUUGCUAAGGCACUGCCUGCAUCCGAGGUCCAUUGUUAAAACACCCAUCAAAGCGGUUUGAACUUUGCUUUUCUUGAGACUUAGGGAAAACAGAAUGGGCGACAAGAUUUGAAAUGACAAGUCUUGUCUCUGAUACAUUCAGCAGGUCUUUAACUCAUCUGUGUCCUGCCACAGUGUCUUACAGCCAGCAAAGCAAGACAGCACCUUCACCACUGUCCAGAAACCUCUACAGAGACCCUGUCAUUCACUAGGCAGAGUCUCCUUCCACAUUACUGCAAGACACACUGGUGAACUUUGCAAACCUAAGAGCUGUCCUUCGAUGACCGAUGACCGAUGACCGCAUGGAAGCCCAGCAGGCUGCAGCCACUGUCUCCUGCUUUCUGUCUUUGCCCCUCACAGAGCGAGCACUUCUGUUUCCAGUCCUGCUUGUCUCACACUCUUCCACACUUCAGAGUUUCUUUUCAGGGGAGGGGGAGAGGUAGGAUUUCAUUUCUACCUGCUGCAGAUUGUAAAAACUAUGGAUUGAAAUAAUUGUAUUAGCUAGGCUGGUGGUGUAGGCUUAUAAUCCUAGCUACUCUGAGGCUGAGGCAGGGAGAGCUAUGAGUUCAAGACUGGCCUGAGUAAGUGUCUCAAGAUUUAAAAAUAGGGAGAAGCUAGGAAGUCAGCCCUAGCCUGGCUAACUUGGCUCUGAGCUUGAUCCUCGGGGCCAUACCUUCCCACAAAAAAUUGUGUGAGUUACUCUACUCGUUGUUAUGACAAAACUAACAGAAAAAGUUAAAAGAAGACAGUUUCAGAGAUUCAAGAUUUAUAUUGGAAGAUAAAUUUUGAGACUUAAAAAAAUGACAAACAGCUUUAAUAUUAGAUAAUUUAACAUUAGAUAUUUAGUACAUUUCAAAUUUUUUGGUUGUGCACUUUGUAUUCUCUGUACUCUAGAUUCUAAUCUCAUUAAUCUAAUCUCUAUAUCUGAUGGUGCGCAUAAGUGUGAGAACUUAUGCUGAUAUUCCUAGCACCCUUUUAAAAGCUGGGCAUAGAGACAUACAUCUGCAACCCCAGUUGGGUAGGAGAUGGAGACAAGAGGAACCCUGGCGCUAACUGGCCAGCCUGCUUAGCCAAUUGAUGAGCUCAAGUUGGCUCAGGGAGAAACUGUUUCGAAACAGUAAGAUGAGCAGUCAAGGAAGACAUCCAAUAUCAACCUCUGGCCCCACAUACACGUGCUCAUAUACUUGGAUGUACACAUGCACAAACACACUAAAGAAAAUAUAGCUGGUGUCAUUUUAAUUUCUGAUCUCUUACAACUUCUAAAUUUAAUCUUUGUUACUAUGAACCUUCAUGGAAAUGCAUCUUGUUACUGGUCUUUUAUACUGUGACAAUUAUUUUAUGGGCUUUAAUUUCAUCUCACACUUUUCUCCUUCCUUCCUGUGACCCUCCUUUUAUCUUUCUGAUGGAAUCGAGGGCCUCACAUAUCCAAAGCAAAACUGUAUUUGAGAUGAAUCACUAGAUCAUGUAUGUAUCUAAUAGAAAGAAUGAUCCAAAAGCAAAAUCAAUAACCAAAGUUUAUUCUCUUGUCAUUCCACAAAGCAAAACCAAGGCUCUAUCAAAACACUGAGCCCAGCGGGAUUUCAGCAUUCCUGUUUUCCCUCAUCAUGGGUAGUCUACAGUGGUCUACUACCAUUGCAUGUUGGAUAUAUGUGGGGCAACAAUAUUGUUAUUUUAAUCCACAGUUCUUCAGUUUAAGAGAUGUUCUGAAGGAACACAGCUGAAAAACCUCCUCUAUACCUGGUCAUGAGCGUGAGUCUAUUAUAUACUAAACUACGGAAGUUCUUGUGUGAGAGAAAGUGAAUAUACUUUUGCAUAUAGGAUAUAGGUGAAUUCUUAAGAUCAGAGAUGUGGCAGACUGCAUUUUUUAAAAUAGUCACUGCAAGGUUUCCAGAGCCCACUUCCCACAAACAUGCUUUUCUUAAAUUCUGCCACACUAGUGAGAGAUGAAGUCUGUUUCUUCUUCCUUUUCAGGCCGGAUGUACUGAAAAGGCAGCGGAAAUGAUGAUGCACAACACCCACCGAUAUAGCUAACCAGGCAGCACAGCUUCUCCUUGGCUGGUCUGACCUCUCUCCAUGUGCUAUGCUGCGAGGAAACCCAGGCUGCCGUCAGUGUAGCAUGUGUAGCACCUUCCAUCAGUAUGAAAGCUGACCAUAAGGGAUGAAGCUUCCAGGUCCACCCUUCAAGGACCUAUCACUGAAGAACAGCCUGCUGGUCCAGGCUGAUAGGGUCUUACCAUAAAUUAUGGUUGGAGGAGAAAAGCAAUCAUCAAUCCACCCGUGAACCCUGUAUGCUAAAAUGACUGGCUGGCAAGGCUGUGCCCUGGUGCACUAGUGGCACAAACAUAAUGGAAACCUCACCACUUUCUGAUUGUAUUUACAGCCUCUCCACAACACGAUAACCCAGCACCAUGACAGGGACAAGAAUCUGCAGCCAAGCAAGUCAUAGGUCUAGGGGAGAACAGCUAAAUAACACAGAAGUAAGCUGACUCCAAGUGGCUUAGUGUUCUUUGCAUAGAUUAACGCAUCUCUCAAACUUCAUCAGAAAAGUUUCUAUUUGCAAUACAACAACAGAUCAAGGUACAGAGAAUAAGAGACUAAGGAAUGCUCAGCCCUAAAUGGGGCAUCUAUAUCAAAUCCUCUCCUUCCAAGGCUCAGGGGUCAUUGUGAAAGAGGGGUAAAAAAGACUGU